UACAGAGGUCUCAAGCGUUGUUCGGAAUCACUGGGCGUAAAGGGUGUGUAGGUGGCGCGCUAAGUCGGGUGUGAAAUUUCGGAGCUUAACUCCGAAACUGCAUUCGAUACUGGCGUGCUUGAGGACUGGAGAGGAGACUGGAAUUCAUGGUGUAGCAGUGAAAUGCGUAGAGAUCAUGAGGAAGACCAGUGGCGAAGGCGGGUCUCUGGACAGUUCCUGACACUGAGACACGAAGGCCAGGGGAGCAAACGGG
rnacentral:rRNA from 1 species